GAUAUUUUCCCAACUUGAAAUCAUUAACAACGGCCACAACGCUAACAAUAUAAACAUUGAAUAAUAUAUGUCAGUGAUUGCAACCAACAUAACCAGAAACUCCCAUCCUUCCCGUGGACCAUUAUAGCACCAUAGAAAAUGAACUAUUUACGCCUAUUUAGGCUUUUUGGUAUCACUUUCAUGAUGAUGCCGCUGACCAAAAUGAAAAAUAUCGCGGGCGCAGAAAUAUCGAAACAUCGAUAUUUCUUGCCAGUAUCGAUACUUUUCUUCAAAACCCUGGUAUCGAUAGUAUCGAGUAUUUGGUAUCGAUAUCGGCCCAUCCCUAAC